UUAUUCCAGUUUGAUCCUGGCUCAGAACGAACGCUGGCGGCGUGGAUAAGACAUGCAAGUCGAGCGGGAUUUCUUUUGGUAGCAAUACCGAUGGAAGUCUAGCGGCGAACGGGUGCUUAACACGUGGGCAACCUGCCAAGAAGUGGGGGAUAGCUCGCCGAAAGGCGAAUUAAUACCGCAUGUGAUCAGAGAGGACAUCCUUUCGAAAUUAAAGUCGGGGCAACCUGACGCUUUUUGUGGGGCCCGCGGCCUAUCAGCUAGUUGGUGAGGUAACGGCCCACCAAGGCUUUGACGGGUAGCUGGUCUGAGAGGACGACCAGCCACACUGGGACUGAGACACGGCCCAAACACCUACGGGUGGCAGCAGUCGAGAAUUUUUGACAAUGGGGGAAACCCUGAUCGAGCGACGCCGCGUGGAGGAUGAAGGUCU
rnacentral:rRNA from 1 species